GAUCGGAGGUCUAUAGUUGUCGAUUGCUGUUAAAGGAUCCACGUCUGCUUCGUUGUUUCCAAUAGGGAAAGAUGAACUGCAAUCUUGAAUCACAAGCGCUGGUGGGAGCGGAAACAAUUGCCAAACACAUUCUGGGAACUCUGCUUGGUAGCUCGGCGUGUGCAUGAAAUUAUGCUGGCGCUGAGCUUGAAUAUUGGGUCUCGUUACUCUAUUACUUUCUGGUGUAGACCAAUGUUGACAUUAUUGUUUUUAACUCUUCCCACUCUAAUUUAUGCUUCUUUUAUGCUUCUUUUCCUUUGACUAUAGGUAUGAAGGCCCAGGAUGAUAAUCAGAGUAAUACCGAAGAGCGGGUUAUGCAGGGUUAUGCUGUUGGCCAUUAAAUGGGUUUUUAUGUGCCUUUUAUGUAUAUGCAACGCUUCAAGAGAUAUAACCAAAGUCUUUCUUUUUCCUCAGCUGUAAAUUGUACAAGAGGCGACCUAGGAGACAGGGCUGCCGGUUCCAAGUUGGUGAAACGUUGUUGUCGGUUAUCAUCGAGUCGUUUCAUAGCUGAACAAGAAGCCAGAUCCUGCUGAUUGACGAUUGCCACUCAAAUCUAUUUGCAACUUGAUGCCAUCUCCUGCUCAAUUUUACGUACGUAACACUCUGACUACGGUCACCGCUUUAACUAUUAUAAGAGGUAGCCGGCAAUGUUAUCGUCACCACACAUUAAUCAUAAACCUUCUUAAGAAGUCUGUGGACAGCCUUCGUCUUAGAAGGGGAGGAGUUAACACAUUCAACCAGCAGCAAAGAGAGGCCAAUGCAAGCCCUGAAGCGAUCACGAUAAGAGUCGAGCUUCUGGCUUGGGAUCAAAGGCGAGCUUAAGAAAGAAGGGCAGAGCGAAUUUGAUCAUCGAACGCGUCGGUCGUCGCCACACAGACAUUGAUUAUUAUUCAAUAAAUUUACAAGCUCAAAUAUAAUCUAAAUAUAAUUCGUAGGCCAUAGCCACGACAUCCAUAAAAACACA